GUAGGGAAUAUUGCACAAUGGGGGAAACCCUGAUGCAGCGACGCCGCGUGAGUGAUGAAGGCCUUCGGGUCGUAAAGCUCUGUCGUAUGGGACUAACACAAUGAAGGUACCAUGCAAGAAAGGAUCGGCUAACUUCGUGCCAGCAGCCGCGGUAAGACGAGGGAUCCUAGCGUUGUUCGGAAUCAUUGGGCGUAAAGCGGGUGUAGGCGGAUUUAUAAGUCAGGUGUGAAAUCCCAGGGCUCAACCCUGGAAGUGCACUUGAUACUGUAAAUCUUGAGUGUGGUAGAGGUUACUGGAAUUGUUGGUGUAGUGGUGAAAUACGUAGAUAUCAACAGGAAUACCGGAGGCGAAGGCGAGUAACUGGGCCAACACUGACGCUGAGACCCGAAAGCGUGGGGAUCAAACAGGAUUAGAUACCCGUGUAGUCC
rnacentral:rRNA from 1 species